rnacentral:rRNA from 1 species
AUAAAGAAAGUAAGCAAGGGCGCAUGGCGGAUGCCUUGGCUCUCGGAGGCGAUGAAGGACGUGAUAAGCUGCGAUAAGCUUCGGGGAGGUGCAAAUAACCUUUGAUCCGAAGAUUUCCGAAUGGGACAACCCAAUAUCUUGAAGAGAUAUUAUCCAACUCAGUUGGAGGCUAACGCAGGGAACUGAAACAUCUUAGUACCUGCAGGAAAAGAAAAUAAUAAUGAUUCCCCCAGUAGUGGCGAGCGAACGGGGAA